GCCUCAAGUUGCUAAUUGGCAGAUCAAAGUCUACUGGUUUUCAUAACCAAAAGUAUGCAAGCAUGGCCAUUUGUCCACAACAAACUCAAUAUUCAAAACAGCUACAAGAAAGUUUUGAUUCAAUUGACAAGCAUUCAAGAUUCCAAAUGGGCAGAGUUUCCUUCAUUCUAGGACAACCUCCAGUUUUCAUUCUUGUUUUCAUUCUUGAGGACAAAAAUGAUU
rnacentral:misc_RNA from 1 species